UACGUAGGGUGCAAGCGUUGUCCGGAAUUAUUGGGCGUAAAGAGCUCGUAGGCGGUUUGUCGCGUCUGCCGUGAAAGUCCGGGGCUUAACUCCGGAUCUGCGGUGGGUACGGGCAGACUAGAGUGCAGUAGGGGAGACUGGAAUUCCUGGUGUAGCGGUGAAAUGCGCAGAUAUCAGGAGGAACACCGAUGGCGAAGGCAGGUCUCUGGGCUGUAACUGACGCUGAGGCGCGAAAGCGUGGGGAGCAAACAGG
rnacentral:rRNA from 1 species